rnacentral:rRNA from 1 species
UACGUAGGUGGCAAGCGUUGUUCGGAAUUAUUGGGCGUAAAGGGCGCGUAGGCGGUUUGGUAAGUAGGGGGGUGAAAUCUUGCGGCUCAACUGCAAGGCUGCCUCCUAAACUGUCAGGCUUGAGCACAGUAGAGGCAGGUGGAAUUCCCGGUGUAGCGGUGGAAUGCGUAGAGAUCGGGAAGAACAUCGGUGGCGAAGGCGGCCUGCUGGGCUGUUGCUGACGCUGAGGCGCGACAGCGUGGGGAGCAAACAGG